UAGGGAAUAUUGGUAAUGGGCGCAAGCCUGAACCAGCAACGCCGCGUGUGCGAUGAAGGCCUUCGGGUUGCAAAGCACUUUUUGAGGGGAUGAGGAAGGACAGUACCCUCAGAAUAAGUCUCGGCUAACUACGUGCCAGCAGCCGCGGUAACACGUAGGAGACUAGCGUUAUCCGGAUUUACUGGGCGUAAAGCGCGUGCAGGUGGCUCGGAAAGUUCGAUGUGAAAGCUCCCGGCUUAACUGGGAGAGGUCGUUGAAUACUUUCGGGCUAGAGGAUGGGAGAGGGAGGCGGAAUUCCGGGUGUAGUGGUGAAAUGCGUAGAUAUCCGGAGGAACACCAGAGGCGAAAGCGGCCUCCUGGCCCAUUUCUGACACUCAGACGCGAAAGCUAGGGUAGCAAACGG
rnacentral:rRNA from 1 species